GAAACCCUAAUGUAUUCGUUAUGGUACCUAUAUUAUUGAACCGAACAAUUUGAUCUACCUAGGGAGCCCAAGUUCGGGCGCAGCGCACAUGCCUUUUCACGAGGACUUGUAAACCGUCAGACAGAGCACCCACCUGCUGUUAAUAGCGGGUUCAAACAAUGGUAUUAAAGACGGUACGAUUGGGGUUUCU
rfam:Listeriaceae bacterium FSL A5-0209 contig000011, whole genome shotgun sequence.